UACGGAGGGUGCAAGCGUUAUCCGGAUUCACUGGGUUUAAAGGGUGCGUAGGUGGGGAGGUAAGUCAGCGGUGAAAUCCCCGAGCUUAACUUGGGAACUGCCAUUGAUACUAUCUCUCUUGAAUACCUUGGAGGUGAGCGGAAUAUGUCAUGUAGCGGUGAAAUGCUUAGAUAUGACAUAGAACACCAAUUGCGAAGGCAGCUCACUACACGGUCAUUGACACUGAGGCACGAAAGCGUGGGGAUCAAACAGG
rnacentral:rRNA from 1 species